AUUGAACGCUGGCGGCAGGCUUAACACAUGCAAGUCGAGCGGAGCGAGGGUGCUUGCACCUUAGCUUAGCGGCGGACGGGUGAGUAAUGCUUAGGAAUCUGCCUAUUAGUGGGGGACAACAUUCCGAAAGGAAUGCUAAUACCGCAUACGCCCUACGGUGGAAAGCAGGGGAUCUUCGGACCUUGCGCUAAUAGAUGAGCCUAAGUCGGAUUAGCUAGUUGGUGGGGUAAAGGCCUACCAAGGCGACGAUCUGUAGCGGGUCGGGGAGGAUGAUCCGCCACACUGGGACUGAGACACGGCCCAGACUCCUACGGGAGGCAGCAGUGGGGAAUAUUGGACAAUGGGCGGAAGCCUGAUCCAGCCAUGCCGCGUGUGUGAAGAAGGCCUUUUGGUUGUAAAGCACUUUAAGCGAGGAGGAGGCUACUUAGAUUAAUACUCUGGGAUAGUGGACGUUACUCGCAGAAUAAGCACCGGCUAACUCUGUGCCAGCAGCCGCGGUAA
rnacentral:rRNA from 1 species